rnacentral:rRNA from 1 species
UGAGGAAUAUUGAGCAAUGGGCGCAAGCCUGACUCAGCAACGCCGCGUGGAUGAAGAAGGCCUUCGGGUUGUAAAAUCCUUUUCUGCGGGACGAUGAUGACGGUACCGCAGGAACAAGUUCCGGCUAACUACGUGCCAGCAGCCGCGGUAAAACGUAGGGGACGAGCGUUAUCCGGAUUUACUGGGCGUAAAGCGCCCGUAGGCGGCCUUGUAAGUUGGCUGUGAAAGCUCCCGGCUUAACUGGGAGAGGUCAGUCAAAACUGUGAGGCUGGAGGCUGAAAUAGGAGAGCGGAAUUCCCGGUGUAGUGGUGGAAUGCGUAGAGAUCGGGAGGAACACCAGUGGCGAAAGCGGCUCUCUGGUUCAGCCCUGACGCUGAGGGGCGAAAGCGUGGGGAGCGAACGG